UGGAGGCAGCAGUGGGGAAUUUUGGACAAUGGGGGAAACCCUGAUCCAGCCAUGCCGCGUGCAGGAUGAAGGCCUUCGGGUUGUAAACUGCUUUUGUACAGAACGAAAAGGUCUCGGUUAAUACCUGGGGCCCAUGACGGUACUGUAAGAAUAAGCACCGGCUAACUACGUGCCAGCAGCCGCGGUAAUACGUAGGGUGCAAGCGUUAAUCGGAAUUACUGGGCGUAAAGCGUGCGCAGGCGGUUAUGUAAGACAGAUGUGAAAUCCCCGGGCUCAACCUGGGAACUGCAUUUGUGACUGCAUAGCUUGAGUGCGGCAGAGGGGGAUGGAAUUCCGCGUGUAGCAGUGAAAUGCGUAGAUAUGCGGGGGAACACCGAUGGCGAAGGCAAUCCCCUGGGCCUGCACUGACGCUCAUGCACGAAAGCGUGGGGAGCAAACAGGAUUAGAAACCCUUGUAGUCCU
rnacentral:rRNA from 1 species